rnacentral:rRNA from 1 species
GACGAACGCUGGCGGCGUGCCUAAUACAUGCAAGUAGAACGCUGAAGGAGGAGCUUGCUUCUCCGGAUGAGUUGCGAACGGGUGAGUAACGCGUAGGUAACCUGCCUGGUAGCGGGGGAUAACUAUUGGAAACGAUAGCUAAUACCGCAUAACAGUAGAUAUUGCAUGAUAUCUGCUUGAAAGGUGCAAUUGCAUCACUACCAGAUGGACCUGCGUUGUAUUAGCUAGUUGGUGAGGUAACGGCUCACCAAGGCGACGAUACAUAGCCGACCUGAGAGGGUGAUCGGCCACACUGGGACUGAGACACGGCCCAGACUCCUACGGGAGGCAGCAGUAGGGAAUCUUCGGCAAUGGACGGAAGUCUGACCGAGCAACGCCGCGUGAGUGAAGAAGGUUUUCGGAUCGUAAAGCUCUGUUGUAAGAGAAGAAAGAGUGUGAGAGUGGAAAGUUCACACUGUGACGGUAUCUUACCAGAAAGGGACGGCUAACUACGUG